rnacentral:tRNA from 1 species
UCGCUAGUGCUGUAAGGCGAACACCGCUGCCUAGAAAGCAGAAGAUGCGGUUUCGAGUUCCGCCUGGCGCA